CCCUAGUAGCGGCGAGCGAAGCGGGAAGAGCUCAAAUUUAUAAUCUGGCACCUUCGGUGUCCGAGUUGUAAUCUCUAGAAGUGUUUUCCGCGUUGGACCGCACACAAGUCUGUUGGAAUACAGCGGCAUAGUGGUGAAACCCCCGUAUAUGGUGCGGACGCCCAGCGCUUUGUGAUACACUUUCAAUGAGUCGAGUUGUUUGGGAAUGCAGCUCAAAUUGGGUGGUAAAUUCCAUCUAAAGCUAAAUAUUGGCGAGAGACCGAUAGCGAACAAGUACCGUGAGGGAAAGAUGAAAAGCACUUUGGAAAGAGAGUUAACAGUACGUGAAAUUGUUGGAAGGGAAACGCUUGAAGUCAGACUUGCUUGCCGGAGCUUGCUUCGGUUUGCAGGCCAGCAUCAGUUUUCCGGGGUGGAUAAUGACGGUUUGAAGGUAGCAGUCUCGGCUGUGUUAUAGCUUUCCGUUGGAUACAUCCUGGGGGACUGAGGAACGCAGCGUGCUUUUUGCGAAAGACUCGUCUUUUUCACGCUUAGGAUGCGGGAGGGAUG
rnacentral:rRNA from 1 species